ACGCUCGACACCUACGGGAGGCAGCAGUGGGGAAUAUUGCACAAUGGGGGAAACCCUGAUGCAGCAACGCCGCGUGAAGGAUGAAGGCCUUUGGGUCGUAAACUUCUGUUCUAAGGGAAGAUAGUGACUGUACCUUAGGAGCAAGUCCCGGCUAACUACGUGCCAGUAGCCGCGGUAAUCUGAGCGGGCUGGCAAGGC
rnacentral:rRNA from 1 species